rnacentral:snRNA from 1 species
GUGCUCGCUUCAGCAGCACAUAUACUAAAAUUGGAAUGAUACAGAGAAGAUUAGCCUGGCCC